CUUCAACGACCCCAACCACAGCGGCCGUUCGGAGUUCCGCUGCCCGUAGGUGGCCAGCAGCGCCUGCGCCUC
rnacentral:antisense_RNA from 1 species